AAUGUGGUGUCAACUUCACACUUUAUGCUAAUUUUGAAUGUUGUGGUGAAUCCUGUGGUGAAUGUGAGGAUGAAUGUGAGGAUGAAUGUCAGGAUGAAUCCUGUGGUACCUUCACAGUAGUAUCGUACAGACAACUCGUGCGUCUUGUAUGGGACUUUACAGGCAGCUCCAGACAUUUGCCACUGCCUUGUUGUAACAACAAAAUACGGACGACAUUUCCGAACAAUAAGUGUCUUCCUUACAAAGGAUUCGAAGAGGAUGAGGACAUAUAGCAAUGUAAAAAGAAAGCAUCAUGUGCAUUGGCUCUGGAGUGUGUCUCCUCAAUUCAUUUUCAACUUCUUCAAGCUUUUUCCUUGGAGUCUUCAGCAAAGUGUCAUAAAUUUCUUCAACAUAUGCUUCAACAAAAUUGUUUACCUGCAAUACAUGCCAGAAUAAGAGAAAUGAAUCAAUUUUGGUGCGAAAUGAUUAACAACUGAAUGGUAUCCCUCCAAACAGCUGGUCUGGGCAACAGAAGAUGCUUGUUUGAUAGCUUUAACAAGUUUCUUUUUGGUCAUAGAAAUGCUGGAUGACUGGUUUCCCCAAUUCUUUGCACAGUUUUGGACAUUUUUCCCUCAUCCAUUUGGCUAUGGUGGCAUGUCGAUCUGAUACGAAUGUUGUUAUUAUUAGGCCAGUUGUAAGGAGAAAUGACAUGGCCUUUUGGUGACCAAGAGCCUCCAUAGCUGAACUACUCCCUGCUUGGUUUGCCUUUGACAAAAAUAGAUUCCAAUAUCUUUUUUUGAUAAUUACGCCAAUAUAAAACAAUGGAAGGAAACAGAAAGUGUCUCUGGUGAUAAUAAUAUGCGACUUCACUGUAGCUGAUCAACCCCAUGUUCUUGAACACUUGAAGUACCUGUACAAUGCCAUUGGUUUAUGGAGUACUGAAUAUCUGUGAUUGAGAUGAUACAUUGCUACAUACUUCCUCACCUUUUUUACUGAAGCACCUGCACACAAAAUAGCAAAACUAAGCAAAAUAUUGCCAGCUGGAAACUUUCCAAAAAGAUAUGGUUGACUUUUCCAGGUGCAUCGGGCGUGAUCUGUUGGUCCUGUAAGAAUAUUGAGGAAUAGUUGUUUUACGAAGUGCACGUAUGUGUGAAGAGCAAUUGUUGGCUUUACGUAUGCAUCAUUCUCAGAUUGGUCUGGAAUUUCAGUUGUGCCUUUUUCUUCUUGAAAAUAGCACGAAUCUUCUUUCUUCAUGCAUGAUACAGACACUUCAUUUUGUAUUUCCUUUAAAACCUUAGUAUAAUUGUAUAUUAUAUAUUGAAAGUUUA